rnacentral:rRNA from 1 species
AUUGAACGCUGGCGGCAUGCUUUACACAUGCAAGUCGAACGGUAACAGGCCGCAAGGUGCUGACGAGUGGCGAACGGGUGAGUAAUGCAUCGGAACGUGCCCAGUCGUGGGGGAUAACGCAGCGAAAGCUGCGCUAAUACCGCAUACGAUCUAUGGAUGAAAGCGGGGGACCGUAAGGCCUCGCGCGAUUGGAGCGGCCGAUGUCAGAUUAGGUAGUUGGUGGGGUAAAGGCUCACCAAGCCAACGAUCUGUAGCUGGUCUGAGAGGACGACCAGCCACACUGGGACUGAGGCACGGCCCAGACUCCUACGGGAGGCAGCAGUGGGGAAUUUUGGACAAUGGGCGCAAGCCUGAUCCAGCAAUGCCGCGUGCAGGAAGAAGGCCUUCGGGUUGUAAGCUGCUUUUGUACGGAACGAAACGGUCCUGGUUAAUACCUGGGGCUAAUGACGGUACCGUAAGAAUAAGCACCGGCUAACUACGUGCCAGCAGCCGCCGUAACAC